rnacentral:rRNA from 1 species
AGUGAACGCUGGCGGGAGGCCUAACACAUGCAAGUCGAACGGCAGCACAGGAGAGCUUGCUCUCUGGGUGGCGAGUGGCGGACGGGUGAGGAAUACAUCGGAAUCUACUCUGUCGUGGGGGAUAACGUAGGGAAACUUACGCUAAUACCGCAUACGUCCUACGGGUGAAAGCAGGGGACCUUCGGGCCUUGCGCGAUUGAAUGAGCCGAUGUCGGAUUAGCUAGUUGGCGGGGUAAAGGCCCACCACGGCGACGAUCCGUAGCUGGUCUGAGAGGGAGAUCGGCCACACUGGAACGGAGGGACGGUCCAGACUCCUACAGUAGGCAGCAGCGGGGAAUACUGGACAGUGCGCGCAAGCCUAAUCCAGCCAUACCGCGUGGGUGAAGAAGGCCUUCGGGUUGUAAAGCCCUUUUGUUGGGAAAGAAAUCCAGCUGGCUAAUACCCGGUUGGGAUGACGGUACCCAAAGAAUAAGCACCGGCUAACUUCGUGCCAGCCGCCGCCGUAA